GAAGUACUCUCUCCGUCUCAAAAUUCUUGUCUUAAAUUUGUCUAAAUACGGAUGUAUCAAGUCACGUUUUAGUAUUAGAUACAUCCGUAUCUAGACAAUUCUAAGACAAGAAUUUUGAGACGGAGGGAGUACUGU
rnacentral:pre_miRNA from 1 species